GUGCUUGCUUCGGCAGCACAUAUACUAAAAUUGGAACAUACAGGGAAGAUUAACAUGGCUCCUGUGGAAAGAUAACAUGCAAAUUCCUGAAGCGGUCCAUAUUUUU